GGCUCAAUUUGAAUAGCUCAAACUUGUUCCAUGGGGUUCAACCCUCAUCUAUAUAUGUUCUACAACUAACAAAGAUUCCAUUUUGCACAAGGACCCAUAUACCUUUUGCACUAAUUUUCUCCGAAAUUUGCUCCAAACAUUGCUAAUCGCUGUGAUUUUCAGACUUAGAAAUUUAUUUCAGCUUCUCGUCUGAAAUCAGCUCAACUUGAAAUCUUUGGGCUCCAUUAUAAAUUUGGAUCCUCCACUUUCUCUAGCCCGCAACACAUCCAAAACUUCCUUUAUCAAAGUUGGAGGAAAUCCAAAGUUCUACCUUUCAUAGGUUUGGACUUUUGGCUGAAUCUCGCUCCUUCCUCGUGAAAAAUGUCUCUGAACUUUUUUGGACAUUGAACUUCAACUUAACUGAAUUUUCUCCUUUUGAACCUUGCUGUCAGAAACUUCAAUAGACAAUUACGACAAAAAUCCAAACUGCUCUUUCAAAAGUCCCUUUAUAAAAGUUGUAGGAAAUUUGCUGAAUUUCAAUUCAUCUUACUACACCUCCUUCAGAUUCCC
rnacentral:lncRNA from 1 species